rnacentral:rRNA from 1 species
AGCGAACGCUAGCGGCGGGCCUAACACAUGCAAGUCGAGCGGAGAACUUCGGUUCUUAGCGGCGGACGGGUGAGUAACGCGUAGGUAAUGUGCCUUCUGGUGGGGAACAACCGUGCGAAAGCAUGGCUAAUACCGCAUAUGUCGAGAGAUGAAAGCCCUCGGGCGCCAGUAGAGCAGCCUGCGUCCCAUUAUUUAGUCCUAGCUGGUGAGGUAACGGUUCACCAAGGGUACGAUGGGUAGCUGGUCUGAGAGGAUGAUCAGCCACACUGGAACUGAGACACGGUCCAGACUCCUACGGGAGGCAGCAGUGGGGAAUAUUGCGCAAUGGGCGAAAGCCUGACGCAGCCACGCCGCGUGAGUGAU